AUUGAACGCUGGCGGCAUGCUUUACACAUGCAAGUCGAACGGCAGCGCGGGCUUCGGCCUGGCGGCGAGUGGCGAACGGGUGAGUAAUGCAUCGGAACGUGCCCAGUAGUGGGGGAUAGCCCGGCGAAAGCCGGAUUAAUACCGCAUACGACCUGAGGGUGAAAGCGGGGGACCGAAAGGCCUCGCGCUAUUGGAGCGGCCGAUGUCGGAUUAGCUAGUUGGUGGGGUAAAGGCUUACCAAGGCGACGAUCCGUAGCUGGUCUGAGAGGACGACCAGCCACACUGGGAGUGAGACACGGCCCAGACUCCUACGGGAGGCAGCAGUGGGGAAUGUUGGACAAUGGGGGCAACCCUGAUCCAGCCAUGCCGCGUGCGGGAAGAAGGCCUUCGGGUUGUAAACCGCUUUUGUUCGGGAAGAAAUCCUCUGGGCUAAUACCCCGGGGGGAUGACGGUACCGGAAGAAUAAGCACCGGCUAACUACGUG
rnacentral:rRNA from 1 species